UGUAAGCCAUCAUAGAAUACAAUGUUUUGCGUUUAUUUUAAUAACCUAUUACUUUCUUGUUUAUAAGCUUGUGUUACAAGUUGUAAAUGUUACAGGGUGUUUUAUGGCUGAGUGAUUGAUCGUGUGGAAGAAUGGUAGAAGAACAUCUCUUGAAACCUCCACAAGAGUUCGCCUUUCCAUUUUCACCGUACUCAAUUCAACAUGAGUUCAUGUCAGCACUAUAUUCAACUCUUGAGGAAGGAAAACUGGGCAUUUUUGAAAGCCCCACUGGAACCGGAAAAUCAUUAAGUAUAAUCUGCGGGUCUUUGCGCUGGCUGUAUGAUCAUCUUGCCAGAGAAAGAAAUGUACUGGAGUCACAAAUACAGGCUUUGAAGAAGAAGGAAACACAAAUUGAAGAUGAAGGAGACUGGAUAAGUGGCCAAUCACAGAAGCUGGAGGCCGAAAGAGAACGAAGAAAACUGGAGGAGCUUCUCAAACUAAUGACUGAUAAAGAGAAUGAAAUGAAAAAGAUGAAAGAAAGAGUGAAAAACAAGGAGGGAAACACUAAAGAGUUGAGAGAAUUCAAUAAAAAGUCACAACUUCAGAAAAAUGAUGAUGAUGUCUUGCUUGAUGAUGAAGACCUCUUGUUGGAAGAUAUUGAAGAUGGUAGUAAAAAUGAAUGUGACAGUGAUAAUGAAAUCGAUAAUAACAAAGAUGAAGAAAAUUAUCAGGGAAUCCAAAUCAUAAUCUGCAGCCGAACACAUUCACAACUGUCCCAGUUGGUAAGGGAGGUGGCACGCAGCCCUUACGGUGAUGUGAGACUGAUACCUCUUGCCUCUCGUCAGAGCUACUGUAUCAACUCUACUGUGCGCAAACUCAAUAAUCUCAGUCUUAUUAAUGAAAAGUGUUUAGAUCUGCAAAGAGGCUCAAAGGGGAGGAAAACCAAGGUUGAUGAUGCUGGAGCCACAGUUAAGAAGACUAAAGGAUCUUGUAGUUGUCCUCAUAUGAAAGUAUCACAGAAUAUUACACAACUGAGUGAGGAAGCCUUGACUACUGUCCAAGAUGUUGAAGCUUUGGUAGACAAGGGGAGCAAGAUCUCAGCUUGUCCGUACUAUGCUACCAGAGCGGCUGUCACUAAUGCACAAGUGCUGGUAGUGCCGUACAAUACUCUGCUGCACAAAGAGACCAGAGAGGCCUGUGGGCUGCGGCUGAAGGGAAGUGUUGUUAUCAUCGAUGAGGCUCACAACCUUCUGGAUUCCAUAGCCCAGGUGUACAAUGCGCAGGUCUCAGGUUAUCAGCUAACACAUGCAUACAGUCAGCUGGUGCAGUACCGAGACAAAUAUAUGAAGCGCUUCAGUGCUACCAACCUUCUAUACUUGGAACAGCUCAUCUUUGUUGUAGGAAGACUUAUACAUAUACUGGGAGGGAAACCUGGGUGUCCACCCAAUGAGGGCUCUGCCAGAGUUGUGGACACUAAGCUCUACUCCCUUGGCUUGUUCUUGUUGGAAGCCCAGAUAGACAACAUCAACCAGUUUAGACUCAUUCAAUUUGCACAACGCAGCAAACUCUCUCACAAGCUUCAUGGUUUCACAGAAAGGUAUCAGCCUUCAGUGAACAUUACACCGAAACCUGCUCCUCAAAGUGGUAUUAGAGCUUUCCUUAAAGAGAUAUCGACAAAGAACAAUAUUCCUGAACCAGUUACAUCCUCGGAACCGGAACAGCGCCUCAGUAACAAUCCGAUCCUUCCAGUCAUUGCAUUCCUACAGGCCCUGACCAGUUCGUGUGCGGAUGGCCGAGUGGUAUGCUGCACUCAGCCAAGCGUGGGGCGAGGCACACUCAAAUACCUGCUUCUCAACCCAGCUGCUCAUUUUGCUGAUAUUGUGCAACAAGCCAGGAGUGUGGUGGUUGCUGGAGGAACCAUGCAACCAGUCUCAGAGUUCCGGGAACAGCUAUUUAUGGCUGCUGGAGCCGAUGUUGAGAAGAUCACUCAGUUCUCCUGUGGUCAUGUUAUACCUCCUGACCACAUCCUGCCCAUCGUUCUGUGCUCUGGUCCCACUGGCAAGCCUUUCGAUUUCUCCUACCAAAACCGCAACUGUGUUACAGUGAUGACUGAAUUUGGUCGUAUAUUGGACAACAUAUGUAACAUUGUACCUGGCGGUAUAAUAUGUUUCUUCUCUUCAUACGACUAUGAACAAACAGUAUACCAGCACUUCGUCAAGUCUGGGACAGUAGAUAAACUGUCCGCUAAGAAGAAGGUCCCUUUUUGUUUAUUUAUCUUGCAUGCUCUUUUGUGGAUAUUAAGUAUUUAGAGAGCCACGUAAGGCUAAUCAAGUAGACCAGGUUCUUUCUGAUUUUGCUGCAUCUAUAAAUAAUGCCAAGAAAAAUCCCCAGGUCAAGCCUAAUGGAGCACUUCUCUUCAGUGUUGUUGGAGGCAAGUUGAG
rnacentral:misc_RNA from 1 species